GGGCGGUUAGCUCAGUUGGUUAGAGCGCUACCUUGACAUGGUAGAGGUCACAGGUUCGACUCCUGUAUCGCCCAC
rnacentral:tRNA from 1 species